CACUUCAGAAAAGUUCAGAGGUUCCUCGUGACAUGUUUGCACAUCUCCAUCAGUGGGAAUUUUUUCCUGUUACUUUCGCCUGCUGCACUGUAGACUGAAUAGCUGCUACCCGCGAGCUGAGUUGUAGAUGACGAAGAUGAGCCACCGUUUUGCUGGUACCAUUUUGCCUUACAAAUUUAUGGUGAUUCUAAACCUAUACUCUAAUCCUCACCUUCAGAUCUUAAUUCUUUGUAUUUCUAAACCAACAAACCAAAUGUCCCAUUUUGAAGAGUUUCCACUGAACAGUGUGAAAGUCAGAAAUCAGUCAAACUGUCUCCAUAGAACUCAGGCAUUUGGACUGACAUAAGCAUUCAGGUGAGUUCAGGGAAAGGUCUGAAAGGUACAGUGAUAUCUGAGCCCAGAACAGGUCCUUCAUUAAGAAUUCUGCUUGAGGGUGAGAGCUGGAAAAUGCUUCCGCAGUGAAGCUUAAUUAAUGCUCAGUAAUCUGAUACACAGAUAUAACUAUUAUUUGAUGGGAGGAGAAAGUGCGAUAAUUCUUCCGGGAGCUGAGUUUCAGAUUCAAGGUUUGUUCCUUCUUUCCCUGCAACCAAAUCACACUGCUUUGAUUUUUCUAAACUGAAUGCAUGUAAGAUUUGGCGAAACACUGAAAGGUAGCGUAACCAGAAGAGAGAUUGCAGGCAUUAGGAUAUUAAUUAGUAGGAGCAGUUAGGGAAUGUGGUUUGCAGGUAUGAAUUCCAACCCUUGCAUAUACAAAAGCUGUUGAAAGAGAGCACGCAGGCUUUUGACUUUCUCUAAAGCAAAGCCAGGUGUCUGCACUUGGAAAGUGCAGGUGUGAGUUUAUGUACUGAAGUUUAUCAGACCCAGGCUGAAACCAUAUCCCUUAUGAGAUCAUGUGCUAUUGUCCAGCUUCUGCAUCAUUAAGGCAUGCUGUUCAUGGAGGUUCUGGGAGUUACUCUUACAGUAGGUAUGCUGGAUUUUCUAACUCAUUUCUUUUGUGAGCUUUAUGGUCUCCUUAAAAGAGCUGUGUGAGUUACAAGGGGCAAGGCUUCCAUCUUCCUUCAGAAAACAUAUGUUGAAUUGAAACAGUAAUAAUACUGUAACCCCUAAAAUAGGAACCAAAGAAGAGCGGACAGGUAUUUGCUGGCUGCUUCACUAAAACUGCGUGUAGGUACCUUAGCUGAAUUCAGUAUUUCAUUUCGUAUUUGAAGCUCACCUCAGACACUUCCUCAGAGAAGACACUAGUGCUUUUAUUUAUGCACUUGCUGAAUUGCAGAGCAUGUGUUUCAGGUCUCAGCUGUCAGCCUUGCACUGUGAGCCUCUUGUCCAGAAAGAAAUGUCAUUCUUAAAUUAAAUCACAAAGGUAUAAAAGAGAAAAAGGAAGGGAAAAAUUUCUCUCUAGACUGUUCUCAGGAUUCUUCUGAAACCAAGGUCAUAAAAUCAAAUAGAAAGAAACUGCUGUGCCAUUAAAUCUAUCCUUCUUGUUUCCUAGUACCUAUUUUAUGGAGCAUUGUAGUGCCUGAUUUUAAGUGUCCCUAGCAAGGACUGUAUCUGUGGGUUCUUUUGGCUCAUGCACGAAACUGAGAUUAAGGUGGUCAGAUACUUCUGCCAGGCAUCACUGAGAUAUUUUAUAUCCUGUCAACAGCUCCUCUUCAAGAAUAACCCGAGAAAAUGAGUUGGAUAUGACAAGUAGUAAGGGUCCACUCUAUUUCUUCCAGUUUCUUCUCUUAUAGCAGCUAACAUAAGAAAAGAUCAAGGCUUGUCAUAGAAAACAAAAAGGAAAGAGCUACCAGGUGCUGUAUGUUAUGGCCAGUACAAUUAAUUAUUAAUGCAGUACCGUUGGUACGACAGCAGACAGGCCAGGCUCUCGAUUAUGCUGUCUGUGGGCAUUUUGCUGAUGUUUGUCAGUGCCAUUCUUGGUCAAGUAUUACGAUCCCAUACCACUGCUGAGUGUGUCUGUCUUUUAUUUGUGAAUUACAAUUUAAAGAACGGGUUACAGCUGACAGGAAAAUGGCAUUUCAUGCAGCAUAAAUGUGUUGUAAUUCCUGAUUGUGCAAUAAUUUUGAUCUGAUCUUGCAGCCUGGAUUCUGGACAAAAUUGAUUGGAUUUGAAACUGUAACACGAGAACUUGAGUAACUGUAUUUAGUGUAUAUUAUUCCCACUGGAAAACUGGAAAUCUACAAUCUUUAAAAGGUUAAAAUGAAGAGAAAGAGCCAAGCUAGGCUGGUAUUAUUUUGGGGCUUGUAUAAAAGCUUUUCUUCUCACACUCACUAAUAAAUCUCACUUUCCCACUAGCUUCUAGGUGAAUUUAGAGAAGGUUUUCUUCUCUGUGCAGGGCUGUACCUUUGAAACUCACCUCCUGUAAUUCACAAUCAGCCUACUAUCACUGCAAGCCUGAGCUGAGAUGGGCUGUGACUUCCCUACCUGCUCCUCCUAGCGAAAAUUUGCCAUCAGUGCUGACAAGACAGUAGCAGCCUCACUAGCUGCAAGUGACAUCUCUCCUCACGGACAAAAUAUCCCAUCAGCCUGUAUUAGUCUGGAGAGCGCGUCUCUCCCAAAAAGCCCUCGUAGCCAUGAGUCACGAUGUGAAAGCCCUACCAUCAGGGCAACAGUCAAAAUUUAUUCUCAGGCUGGCCUCACAUGUUAACUUAUCACCAAGCUAAGCUCUGCUGAAAGGCUGGAGCUUGUAUUCACAUAGGGUGGAAAUUGGUUCCGCUGGGAGAGCUUCAAAGUCAUUUCAGCCAUUAAACUGUGGCUGGAUGUAUCAUAAGUACAGGAGAGGUCGAGGCACUGCCUAUGAACCACGGGGACUUGGUAAAGAAGUUCCUGGGAAAUUGGCAGAGCUAUUGUGUAUUCUGUUUCAGUCUGGCUCUGCAGCGGGAGCGAGUCGCGUCUGUACAUGAGACUCAUUAUGCUUCCUCUGUUUAACAUACCAAUUACUUUCUGUAUUUACCAUGUUUAGAGUGACUUCAUGUCAAAAAUUAAUAACGCUAAAAUAAAGAGCAGCGCUGGUGUGUGCUAAAGGGGAAGGAAAGCAGGCUAAUAGAAUGUGUAAUAGAGAAGGAAGGUGAAUUUGCAGCUGUAAGGAUCACAUCCAGAUAAAUUUCACGGUGUGCAAUGGCAGGGGUCCCACUGAGGCCCCUGUGCUCUUUAAGGCACACUUCAGGCAGAGAUAAGUGUAUCUUGAGAGGUGCAGCGCCUAAGUAAUUUCACCCUAUAAGCAGUGUAAACAAGUAGCAGUGCCAGUCAUCCCCUCCAUGAGUUUCACUCCUCCAAAUUUCUUGCCUGUGCCUCAGUAUUAUGAAGAAGUGCUCGGGGGUCAAGUGGUCAAGGUUGGAGGACAAGAUGACAGGUAAAUGUUUUUGGUUUUUUUUUUUACAGACCCUUGUACAAGCUUGAGCAAGUGAGAAUACCUUGGUUCAUCCUUGUUGAUUCUAGCAGCCGGUCUCUGAGCUUCCUUUUCAGAACUCAAGAGUCCAUAAAAUAUUUUACCCAGAUUCUCCGAGGAAUCUGUCAAUUCUGGUGCAUAGCAUUUCCUUAAAGUACCGAGUUCAGCACCUGUCUGGUAAUAGGACUUGAAGUGCUGUCUAAGUCUCUAGUAGGCAGCAUACCAUCACACAGAGUAGUAUUCUUCAUUCUAAUUGAUCACGACAGACAAUAAAUUGGAAGUCCUCUUGGUGGGAGGUAACUGAGAAAGGACUUUAUUGAUCAGUGGCAUUGGAAGAGUUAUCAUUAACAGAGAUCAUGAAAACAGAUGUAAUAUUUAUAACCAAAUCAGAUGUUUUAUGUUUUCAUUAAAAGAAAGCCUCUCUAUACCUCAAACUCAGUAAACCAUAAAAGACCUCAAGAAACUGCAGGCAUAUACUGUUAUGCAGUGUAUGGUAUAAGGUAUGCAGGCAUAUACUGUUAUUUGUACUUUAGUGUGCUUCCAAUUUCAGCAGGAUACCUUCUCCAGGCUGGCAUGAGAAGUAUCCUGGUUUCUGCAUCCCUUCACUCACUGUCACCAUUGAUUCUUCAUGGGAUAUUGUGUGAAGGAGAAAGGUCAUAAGUCACAUCAGGAAUGUACAAUGGACUUCAUACAAGUCAAGAUAAUCAAGGAGUCUGAAUCUGUCUCCAAUGCUGACAUUGAUUUUGAAACAUUAAGACCAAUGAGAAAGAGAAAAUCUUGACAGAAAGCUCAUUUUCUAGAGGAAGUACUUGGAAUGAGUCUUUUCCUUGUGGACUUAAUCCGUUGUCCUUCAAUAUCAAGUGAGGCUUCCACAGACAAAUGAAAUGGCAGUGCGGCGCAUCUGUUUGCUAUAGAAGGAGCACGAAGUUGUGUGCUCGGGCUGAACACAACAAGAUCUUCUGUGAAAAGAUAACAGACAGUCUACAGAGAGCAAGAUCUGUUCCACAACAGAGGAUCCUUAGAGUUGUAGUGUUUGCCAUGCUAUCUCAAGCCCUAACCACUUUAUUCUCUGUAAUUUGAUUAUUUGGUCAUGCCCUGGAAUGCAAAGUACAACUCUGAUGUAUUUGUAUAAGCCUAGGCUCUUCAAGUACAAUGUUUCCCUGUUCCAAGCAAGAGACUUCAGUGACCUCUCACUCAGCACAAAUAGUGAAUGGUAAGAAGGAACAACUUGUGAAGACCCUUUGUAAUCACAACACUCUUCUAUGACACUUAACUAAGUCCUGGUCCUUUGCGGCCAUAUCCAAAUGCCACAGUAGCCACAGUAAAAUCCUGACUAAGCAGAAAACAGGAAAAAAAGAAAAGAAAAAAAAAAAAGAAAAAAAGAUAUUCUGAAAGGAACUGAUUCAAAAUAUGAGAGAGAACCAACUGGCACCAUUUUUGCUUCUAACCAGGGCUUCUAUUUUGCCAGUCAGUGCCUAUCUCCUUCAUUGAGGGAAGCCCAUGGAAGUGGAUACAUCCUUGGCAAAAUGCACACUGAUGGUGAAGAACACGCUUUGAGUUCAAGGCAUUCAGAUGAUGUUUUCAGAAUGAAAGGACUGGAGCCAAGCCUUCAACAGGGCACCAAGACUGGAGAUUUUGUCCUCAGAAAUGCAGAGUAUUCUGCAUCUCCUCAGCCAAAUUUAUAGGAUCUGCUCUGCCAUCAGAACAUUUGUACAUAAUGCAUCAAUAUUGGCUUUCAAGACUAAUUUUUGGCUCCCAUUUGCAAAUCUUGUUUGAAGUGUAUUCUAGAAAUUAACUGCAUAAAAUCUAAUAAGUAAACAAUUUAGAUUUAGGUUGGAUGUAAGGAAAAAGUCUUCUGCAGUGAGGGGUGAUGAGGCACUGGAACAGGUUGAACAGAAAGUGGUUGAAGCUCCACCCCUGGAGACUUUCAAGGCAAGACUGGAUCGGGCCCUGGGCAAUCUGAUCUAUCUGUGGUGUCCCUGUUCAUAACAGGGGAGUUGGACUAGAUGACCUUUAAAGGUCCCUUCCAACUCUAAAGACUCCGUGAUUCUAUGAUUCUAUGAAUGAAUGAGUGACAAGGUAAAAAGUGUAAUAAAGAACAGAAGAACUCUUCUGGAUGCUUAAGACUGUGUACAUCCUGUUUGGCAGUACUGCACCUCAGUCCAUGUCAUUGCAAAAAAACAAGGUGCAGUGAAACAUGGUCUGAAGUAUAACAGGAGCUUAAGGGGGACAUAAUGUAUUUAAAUGCCAGACAAAACUGUUUAUCACUUUAAAUAACCUGCAUAAAAUCAGAUCAGAGAGGAAGAAAAGCAAAAUGCAAUAGGAGAGAGCUAAAAAUUGGUUUAGAUGUCUUUCUUUAUAGUAAGCUUACUGCCACCUGUUUGCUUAGUAGUAAGUUGAAUCUACAAAUUAGUUUAAAAGGUGACUUUCAAAUAAUAUUUAGCAGGAGGAGAUGCUGUGGAAAAAAAAUCUUAAAUCUUUCAGAGUUAUUAUCUUUCUUGUGUGAGGGUGUUGUGUGGCCUCUGCAGCCAUUCAAAGUGGCCAGUGGUUCCCAGCAUGCUCAGGGAGAGCUGACACACUGAACUAAUCUUUAAUUUAUUGAUGCUCUACUUCACUGAGAGACGUAGUAUAUCAAUAAAUGGCUUUAGUUAAGAAGUGAAGGUCUAAGAAGCAGUGGUAGGAGCUUGCAAAAGUACAUCAAAGCUUACAGAAAAUAAAAUCGAGAGCUUGUGGGAGAAAAUUGAUGUCUAGGAAGGACAGAAAGAACAAACAAACAUCACAAACUUCUAAGUAAGACUUCUGUACAAGACAGUGUUGUUGGCCAUCUUAAACACACAAUUUGCAAGCUUUUGUGUACUUCUUGGUUGCCCAGCAGCUUAUAAAAAUAUUGUUAUGGAGUACCUUUCAGUGAUGAACAGUAACAAAAACAGUAGACCUAAACUGAAGGAAGAAAUCACUGUCCUGUCUGGUAACUGAUGGAUUUUGUGAGAUGAUAUACCUCGAAUCACUUAACCUGCUACUGCAUCCAGCAGCACUAGGAGGUUUGUUUGCCUUGAUGAUAAGCUCAGCACACAUAGAAAGAAAUAAAAGCAAAUCUGAGUCAGUAUUUGUGGCCUUUUCUUGUAACUCCUGUCAUCUUUUUUUCCCUUUAAAACGGUUAAAAAUACAGGAUGUGCACAUCCAUGUCAGCUGCAGAAGCAGGUACCUACCUGCAGCUGGUAUCUCUAUAUAUAGCUGACACAGUCCUAUUUUCUGCGUGUGUGAGCAUUGCAGAUCAUUCCCCAUGUCCAGUUUGUGAAGAACAGAGAGCCAAAGAAGUCAGAAGGACUGGACAGCAGGCGGACCCAGCAGGUCCCUCUCACAACCCUGGGCAAUUGAAGGUGUGUAUCAUACAGACAUACAUCCUUCCUGGCACAGAGAGAAAGAUCUCCCUUUUAAAGGUUGUUACAGCAUUGUUUCUUAAAUCAUCAUCUGCAGAUGUCAGUGCUUGAAUAAUACCUCAUCCUGUCUGCGUAAAAUGCAUGACACUGAGUGGUGACUGGUUCCACAUGGCAGCUUUCCACCAGAUGCUGCUGCCUCUGAAAGAUCCCUUCCCAUCCUGGGGAAGAGGACCUGAUGGAAGAAGGUGGUUCAUGGAGAUUGCCUUGCCAGAGAAAAUAAAAAUGUGGUAAAAUCAGAAUCACUGAUUGUCCUGGGGUCCACUGGUGCUGCUGCUGUUGGCAUUGCAUGGAAAGCCACUGGAGAUAAAGGGGAAGCUGCCUCAGAGGAGGAGCUGGGCCAGGGCACUUGAGGAGAUAGGAUUUACUAGGUCUCAGGUUCUACAAUGAUUUCAAAUGCCCAGCAGUUUGUUCUUCAUCUUCUUGAGGAACAUGUUGGUGUGUGGGACAAGCAGGUAGUAAACAAGCUGGAGAAGCUCCGGUGUUCCGGUGGAAUUCAGUCCAACACAGCCCAAGUGACCCUUCUGUGUUUCAAUGGAGAUGGACCCCUACCUGGGGACAGGAACUCCUGUGUUUGUGGCUGUCCUCAGCCCAAAGACACCUUUGUGAAGAUGCCAAAUGUGAAGAGCUCACACCCUCAUGCCACAUCUGUCCGUGCUUUUCACUAGUCCUGGUUCAGUGUGUGAAGACACUGAGAUGGUUUCCAGAAACAUUUAAAUUCCCCAUACAGCCCAGAUAGCAGGGAUACACUUCAGAGUUUCAUGCAUAACCAUCUCAGUGAUGAGAUCUUUGAUUUAGCAAAAAAAAAAAAAGAAAAAGAAAAAGAAAAAGAAAAAGAAAAAGAAAAAGAAAAAGAAAAAGAAAAAGAAAAAGAAAAAGAAAAUAGUGGUUGCUCUUGGUUUCUCUUCUCCUUUUCAUACUUCAGUGUCCUCUAAAUGUUCUUUGAGUUUCCCUUCCCUCCCUCCAGCUUUUCCCCUCACAUAGCACUUUUCCCCCAGCCUGUGCCAUCUGGAGGAUGUUCUGUGGUCUCUUCUGGGCUUCCUGCUGCUACUCCAGCUCUCUCCCUUCAGCUUCUUUUUUUGGUAGUUUUUUCUUCAAAGGAGCUAACAGAAGUGUCAGCUGGGGGAGUGAGAUGUAUCUCUGUUAACAGCUGCUUCCUAAAAACCUUCAAAACUGGUUAGUCUUCAAAGGUUGGUGUAGGUUGUUCACCCAAGGAUAGCAGCUCUGGAGAAGCCCCAGCCCUGUCCUUUUUCACUCUAAUGAUUUCUUGAACUCCAGAGAAAAAUCCUUCACUACAUUAAUUUUCUAUGCCAGACACAUCCCAGCUGAUGCAAAUCACUUAUGCCCCAACACAUUGUUUUACAUUCAGAAAUGCAAAGGCACUCAUUUAUUGCAGAUUUCACCUGUGCACUGCCUGUGUUAAUGCUGCAAAUUCAUUCAACAUGUAGCUCUUAAUGUCACAGUCUUCCCUUAGCAUUUUAGGUAGGACGCUGGCUCAGACCUGAGGAUGCUCAGCCAUGCACUCAUCUGACUACAGAGGUCUUCGCUGUCUCGGGCUUUCAGACACACUGCGGUGUCGCUGCUCAGGCUUUCACUUUGAAUCAAGUCAGCAGUUACAGAUUUCUGCAACGUCUUUGCAGUUUCAAAGCUUCCUCUUGAAUUUCAUACUCAAGCAAAGCUGCCAGUGAAAACAAUGAGCCGAUUGCCUGAGUAAUGAGCAUAAAAUUGGAGCCGAGGUCAGGAAAAAUUACUGUGGGAGAAAGGCUGCAGUGGCUGAGUGUAUGCAGCACUCCUGUUAGCUCCCUGUCAGAAGACUAAACCUUUCAUUCCAUAGAUCUUUUUAUAAACCCCCCUAGCUUACAAUUUUCUCUAUAAAACAACCGCGGAUUAAAUGUGGCUUUUAAAGAACAGAAGGAAAGGAAACACCCAGUACCUGAUCCGUGUCUGAAAGGCAAAGAGGGAGUUUUAUAUGAAAAAGAGAAAGUAAAAACUUUUUUAUUUCAGUUUUUACUGGGGUUCUGAUUUUAAGUCGUAGAGUAUUUCAGAGAAUCUCAUAUUCAGCUCUUUUUUUUUCCAGUGGUACCUUUUUAAUCCUGGAUUUCACUAGUAGUUCAUCACUCCUUCUCUCCCUCACUGCCCACCCCAAUUCACUGUCAGUGCUUCUGGCUGACUCUGUUCACAGCCCUCCCUUCUAAGCUCCAUUCUGUGCUGAGACUUCUCCCCACUGCAGCAGAGCCCAAAGCCUUAAUGUAACCUGGAAGCCAAGCAAAGUCAGCUGCGAGAGACCAAGUGGAAGAAAAUAAAAGGCACAGGCCACGUGCACUGAGCACUUUGCAGAUGGUCAUAGCUGGGGUGCCAGCAAUUGGAAAAGCAAAAAUGCACCUGAAAACAAUGUGGUAUUUUAAUCACUACAUACAUAUAUAUAUUUUAGUAUAUUAUAUAUUAUAUUAAUUACACAAGAUCUGUUGUCUGUAUUAACCAUUAUCAUAGAAUCAUUAAGACCUCUAAGAUCAUCCAGCCAACCAUCAGCCCAUCCCCACCAUGCUCACCAGCCAUGUCCCUCGGUGCCACAUCCACACAGUUCUUGAGCACCUGCAGGGAUGGUGACUUCACCAGCUGUUUGAGCAGCCUGUGCCACUGCCUCACUGCUCUUUCUGAGGAGAAUAAUUUUUUCUUAAUAUCCAACCUGAGCCUCCCCUGGCACAACGUGAGGCCAUUCCCUCUCGUUUUAUCACUGUUACCUGGGAGAAGAGGCCAGCACCUGUCUCACCACAGUCUGUCUCACUGAGUGGUAAGGUCCCCCCUGAGCCUCCUCCAAACUGAACAAUCCCAGCCCCCCCAGCUGCUCCCCUUAAGACUUGUGCUCCAGACCCUUCACAGCUUUGUUGCCCUUCUCUGGAUACACACUGGAGCCUUGCUGUAAUGAGGGGCCAAAAACUGAGAACAGUACUCAAGGAAUGGUCUCACCAGUGCCAAGUAGAGGCAGAAGGUGAUUCUCACAAAAAAUUCUUGCUUUUUGUUCUGAACGUUUAAUCGUGCCUUGACAGAAUUUCCAGGAGCUGACUGAAGAGCCUGCGUGUUUGUCAAAAGUAACAUGAAAUCUAAGCCUGAAAAAAAAUGAAUGUCCUUGUAGUGAAGGGCUUUAAAACCGUUACUGUCCCCUCACAGUAACUGAAGUGCCCAAAACUGGGAGGGAGAAAAAAAAUUUCUUUGUUAUUCUGCAUCUAAAUUAGAAGCUG